rnacentral:rRNA from 1 species
AACGAACGCUGGCGGCAGGCUUAACACAUGCAAGUCGAACGCCCCGCAAGGGGAGUGGCAGACGGGUGAGUAACGCGUGGGAACAUACCCUUUUCUACGGAAUAGCUCUGGGAAACUGGAAUUAAUACCGUAUACGCCCUACGGGGGAAAGAUUUAUCGGGGAAGGAUUGGCCCGCGUUGGAUUAGCUAGUUGGUGGGGUAAAGGCCUACCAAGGCGACGAUCCAUAGCUGGUCUGAGAGGAUAAUCAGCCACAUUGGGACUGAGACACGGUCCAGACUCCUACGGGAGGCAGCAGUGAGGAAUUUUCUGCAAUGGGCGAAAGCCUGACAGAGCAAUACCGCGUGAGGGAAGAAGGCUUACUGAGUUGUAAACCUCUGUUACCUAGGGAGGAAGAUCUGACGUUACCUAGGAGACGAAGCAUCGGCUAACUCCGUGCCAGCCGCCGCGGUAAAAC